GGGGCUCAAUCUAAGUCAGGGAAGUUAUGGGUGGUCCUCUGCUGCUCUUUCAGGACCUGGCCUGGGUUCUUCCAUCAAGAAAACAGGAGUAGGGGUGCCCGACCAGUUCAGUCCAUAGAGCAAGCAACUCUUGAUCUCAAUCAAGGUGGGGAGUUCGAUCCGCACCUUGGGUGUACAGCUUACUUAAUUUAAAAAAAAAAAAAAGAUUUUUUUUUUUAAAGAGAAGUAAUAAAAUCUGCCUGCCCCUACUUCCAGAACAUGAGAGAAAGAACUACUAUUAGUGAGAGCCUAUUAAGGGUCCAGCAUUUUAUAGGCUGUACAUUGCUUGAUCUUGACAAACCGUAAGAGGAGUAUUUCCAAACCUUGUGUACCUGCAAGGACACUGAGGUGCAGAGAGGAGGGACUUGACCAGAGCCAUAGGUCUGUGCAUCCAAACACAUUUUAGGGAUCCUUACUACCAUCCUCUUGCUUCUAGCAACGUCCUGAGAGUUGAUGACACACUGAUAGGUCCUGCAGCCUGGGCUAGGUCUCUGGUUGACCUUGAAGAGAGAGAUGAGCUGCUUUUCAUCUGUCUCUAAUAUAUAUUCCUGGAGAGUGAUGUAAGUGGUGGGAAAUUGGUUCUAAGGACUUGAAGCCUUGGACACCAUUUUAAGCUGCAGCACCUUUGUACCUAUUCCCCCAAAAAUAUUCAUGAGAAAGUCAGUUACCAGGAAUCUCUUACUCAGCCAGAAGAGUCCAAAGUCUACCCCACACUUUUCUUUCCCCAUCACACCACGGUUGAGAAGAUUUAAACUCAGAUUCACUGGACCUGAGUUUCUGUUCAUGCCACGAGCAUCUGAACUGAGCCCAAAUACUCCCCUUCAGCCUGGGGCUUUGAAGCCCGGGGAGACCUAGGAAGGAAUUAACAUGGUCCUAAACUUCCAAGUGCCUUUCUCCACCUGUCAAGGCCAGGCUUUGUCCAGCGAGCAGAAGAGACCACUUGCCCCUAAAUUGGGGGGAGGACUGAGUGUGGGCUCUGGAAACCCAUGGUUCUAGCAGUGAAACCCUGAGGGUUCCCACCACCCAAACAUUCUUAUUGGCACCCCUAGUUCCCAGAACUUGUUCAGUAGUUGCUUCUUGGUGUCAUGGACUUUCUUUUCAUCCACAGAGAGGCUGUCUGGUGACUGCUCGCCUACACUCGAGAAAAUGCCUUAGAGUUUGAAUUUGAGGCAUUUGCAGAAGGAAAGAGGGGACAGACAGAACAGGCAAAGCCUAAAAGCAAGGAGGGAGGGUGUAGAGGUCUGUGUGUGGCCGGGGGCAGGGGGAGCAAUUGUGAUUUGAGACUCGCUUAGGGAAAUUUUUGUUUCCUCUCCUACACAGGCACAGUCCUAGCCCAGAUGCUCUCCAUCGCCUUUUUACUUCCCCAUUUUCCUUUUCCUUUAGUCUCCUGUUGCUGGGCCUGGGUGAGGAGAAUUAGGGAGCCAGAUGCCCACAUUCUUCUCUUUUGGUCAGCACAGCUGCAUGGGGCACAGACUCCAGGUGGGCGUUCAGGAUGAAUUGUUUUAAAGAGUCCCUAAAGCUAUACUCACCCUUGUGGAGCCCCCUGUUCCCCUUGGGCAUGGAUGGGAAAUUCAGGGGUAUCAGGUGCAUUUCCUCAUUUUCUGGUUAUUCUAAGACCUCUGGGCCCUAACUGCCCCUGGAGCACUGUUCCAAACCUGGAGGCGGCUAAAUGAAUGAUCAUUUAAUAGAAUUAAAAAAAAAAAACCCAUCAGGGUAUAUUAACUCACUUUAUAGUCCUUGUGGUGGGAGAGGGAGAGACUAUGGUGAUUUCCUAAAUGCCAGCUAGUUAAGUCCCUCUACCUCCUCCCUCUGGAGUUAAGAAAGCCUCCCUGCAUCCAUGUAUUUCUCCUCUAUCAUAGUUUGCUACAUUUUUUGCUGCUGCUCAUGCCUGGCGGCACCACACUUGACCUUAGGAAUGCCAAGUGGAAGAGCCUGACGAUGAGACUGAGACUAGGUCGCCAAUUUGAACUGAACUUGGUUUUUCCUCCUCCAACCAGAAUGGCAUGACUCAGAAAGAAAUGGAUCCAAAUGAGAAAACCGGGACAGCUUGGGUUCUGCGAGAUGGCUGCGAGCUGGGGAUUGCACCGAUAAUAAAGCCCAUAGCUGCUUCUUUGGCAUCCACUCCAUGUCAGGCAAAGUCGAGCACACAGCGGUAGGUUUAAGGUAAGUCUCUCCUUUGCUGAUGAUGACCAACCCUGCCCCCAGAAUCCAUCAGGAGUUUGGACGCAUCCACAGCUCCCGGAGAAGAUCCCGCUUGACCUCCCUGUCAGAGGCAAGUGCUUAGUGCAUUUCUGAGGCCAGGUAUACCUGGGUUGGGUCUUAGCUUCUAGACUGGAGCUGGCAUCUUGGCCUCAGAGUUUAUUUCUGCCUUUGCAAAACUGGGACAUUUGCCCAAUAAGGGGUUUGGAAGUGCCGUUCCUAGCCCUGAUGAUCCUCCUCAUAGUGCAUUUGUUUAUUCAUCUUUAGAGAAAAGACGCAGUUUCUUUCUAGAAGCUCUAGAAAUGUGACAAAACUUCCAUCUCCCCUUCCCACGCCGAGGUAUGGUUGCUGGGUUGAUCACCUCCCUCCCCCCACCGAUUACUAGCAGCUCUGCAGAAUUCCAAACCCUGACCUCUGCAUCUCACCAGUGCAAGUUUGAGAACUUGCCCCCAGUGUAUGUUCUCUGACCCUAGUUGUCAAGGUUUGAUUUCUGCAUUCUUGCUGUUGCUCUUCACUUACUUCUAUUACCCCCUCCAGCUGCACUUCAGGGAAGCCCACAU